rnacentral:rRNA from 1 species
UAACUGAAUCCAUAGGUUAAUGAGGCGAACCGGGGGAACUGAAACAUCUAAGUACCCCGAGGAAAAGAAAUCAACCGAGAUUCCCCCAGUAGCGGCGAGCGAACGGGGAGCAGCCCAGAGCCUGAAUCAGUAUGUGUGUUAGUGGAAGCGUCUGGAAAGGCGCGCGAUACAGGGUGACAGCCCCGUACACAAAAAUGCACAUGCUGUGAGCUCGAUGAGUAGGGCGGGACACGUGGUAUCCUGUCUGAAUAUGGGGGGACCAUCCUCCAAGGCUAAAUACUCCUGACUGACCGAUAGUGAACCAGUACCGUGAGGGAAAGGCGAAAAGAACCCCGGCGAGGGGAGUGAAAAAGAACCUGAAACCGUGUACGUACAAGCAGUGGGAGCACGCUUAGG